GCUGGGAUAGCUCAGUGGUAGAGCAGUUGGCUCCGGUCCGACUGGACGCAGGUUCGAGCCCUGCUCUCAGCG
rnacentral:tRNA from 1 species